UGCAAAUGGACUUUCCACUUGGCCAGUGCAGUCUUCUCUGCUCCUUACUGUACACGUGGCUGUCAAGGAGAAGAGAAGAAGGAGCUGCCAUUUUGAACAUGUCUAGUCCCAGACUAAUAGAAGCGGAAAAGGAACACCAUGGAAACACCAGACGGGCUGGAGAGAUAAGCAAGCUUUGAAAUACCUGAACCUCGGUUAAAUACACAUGACAGGAUUUUUGUCGUGACUUUCCUAAAUUCUCACUGUGCCAAGCAAGCAAGAAAGUGCCCACAGGAGUGGGAGGGAAAAGACACAUGGGAUGGCAGCAAGGAAACCUGCCUAGAGGAGCCAGCCAUCCCGUCUGUCCCCUCACUUCCUUCCAGAGAGAACGUCUUUCCUUGACAGCGCCUGCCUCCUGUCAUUUCAUCCCAACACUUUGCCCAGCCCGGGAAAUCUGGAUUUUCUUUUUAAAGAAAGAUGUCUAGAGAGAAAAAUAGAAAAUGAACAGCCAAUAGAAAGUGCAACAGAGCUUGUUGAUUUGGUUCUGUCAGAUGCCCCAAGUGUUCGUGGUAAGCUGGAAAACUCUCCAUCCACUAGAGGCAGCCACAGCUCGGGAUGCUGAUAAAGUUCUGACACAGGGAGUGAGUGAUGAGUGGUGUGUAAAAGUUCUGACACAGGGAGUGAGUGAUGAGUGGUGUGUAACGUGCUGAAAACAGGAAGCUCUGACAACAAUGUGAAGAGGAACCUUCUGAACACAAAUUCUAUGGCUCCAAAUAAGCAAGUUAAUAGUCCUGAUAUCUUGACUUGAUCUACAGAAGAAACCCCACUCAGGAUAACUUUUACUUUUCUGGUGGAAGAGACAAUAAGAAUAAAGACUCACUAAACGGUAAUAAAAUCCUCUUUGACUUACUAAUUGGUUGGUAAUUUUGAAAUUUUCUAAUCUGAAUGUUUAACUCCAAAUAGUUUUCAUCCUGUCAUAUGUUACAGUAUUAACAGUUAUAGAAAAAGAACAGGAAUUAUUAGAAACAUUAAAACUAUUCAAAUCUAGGAAAUGUGGAUCUUAGGAUUUGUGUCAGGAAACCAACAACCUUAGGAUGUGCCCCACAGUUGGCUUUCCUGAACCGUGAUCCCAGAAUGCAAGAAGUCAACCCAAUACAAAUCCAUGCUUUCUGACAAUGGCAGAAAAUUUUUUGGCCAUUGUCCAUUGACUGACUCACAAGCUGUGACAAUGUCCCACCAUUACACUCCACCGACUCCCCCGCAAGGCUGUCACCUGUCUUUACCUGCAGCAGCUGCAUAUAUGCACACAUUUAAUAACACUUAGUGGGGGCAUGUUCUGUUCUAGAAACGGUGCCUGCUCCAAAGAUACGGUGGUGAACAAAAUAAAAAUGCUCCCUGUCUCUAUGGAACUCAGAGUCUAGCAGAAGACAAAGACACAAUGUGAAAUACACAUUUCAAUAAGUGCUAUGAAAGAUAGGUUGUACAGUGAUAUGAAAGGGAAUAACAAAGGGAUGCAAAAGAGUUAUGAAAGGCCUCUCUGAGGAAGUCAUGUUUAAGCUGAAAGGUGAAGGUUGCCUAUAAGAAGGUCAGGCAAAAGACAGGGUGUGUGAGUGGGGAAACAUUCUAGGCAGAGGUAACAGCAUAUGCAAGACCCCAUGGAAGAUUAGAAAAAGGAAACAGCACCAAGAUAUGACCUAUUUUCCUUAGAUGACUGAGGGAAUUCAAAUUCAAUGAAUACCUUCUUUAUCUUAAAAGCUAAAGCCUUUACAUUUAUUAUAAAUAGGGAUUUCUAUAAAUCCUGUCAACUCCCACUUAUCCUGUAUUCUCAAUCCUGUAUUUAUUCACCAACAUCUUUGAGCUGUUUUCUCUGGCCUUAUCCUUAUUCUUUCUAAGGUAUAUCUAUCUUUUUUAGCAACCCCGAUAAUUAGAUAGGAUAAUCUGUUGAGAUAUUAAUUUGUGAUUUGUAUUUCUGAUUUGUGCUAUAGAAGACUUGAAGGAUUAGAAGGGACUUUCCUCCUACUUCCUUCACUGGAAAGACAACCAGGCCUUUAUCUUCUAAGAUCUUUUUUCUAUUUUCAAGCAAUUAACAGUUUAUUUUUGUAUCAGAACAUCCUGUCCCAUCCCUCAAGAUCUGUUGCGCAAAAUGUAGGCCCAUCGGGAGGAAGAAAGUUGAGGAGAGGGGUGAUUUGCCUUGCUGGCAACUUAUUGACAUGUCUUUGCCAUGCUCCUACUCAGGAAAUUAGAUCCCAUGACCUAUAAAAUUCAGUCAAAACUGCAGCUAAACUCACACCCUCUGCUAUAUUGGACCUGAAGUCUCUGCAGCCAUUCUCCUCUAUUGCCACAUUCAUCCCCCGUACCAAGUCGUACCCCAUCAAUUCUGCCUGUCCCAUAAUUCAUCUCAAGCUUAUUUUCUUCUAUGCUGUUUCCCUUUCCCACUUUUUAAUUUCACCCUUAUUUUAAUCUCUCAUUUUCCUGUUGUUUCAUAGUGAAACCACUUUGCAAAAUUAUAACUGAGGAAACUAUGACAGUGAAAGACAUCAGACCUAACUGAUUCCAUCUUGCUUCUAACGUUUAAGCUGUCCUUGUUCUUUCCUGGGCAUAGGCCAAACUAACUUUGGGAAGGAAUUCAGUUCAUGGUUUGACUCUGAAACAAAUUGGAACCAGCCCUUUCCUGAAAAACCCCGUUUCUUCCUUGGAGACCAGUCUGCCUUUGCAGGACUAACAACUUAGCUACAACAUUAGAAAUCACAGUUUAGGGGUCAUGCAGUCUCUGGUUCCAAGAGUUUGAACCUCCCGAAAUUGCUCCUGGGGAUAAUAUCGGUAUUGUGAAACCUAAGAUCAGUGCUUAAGACCCUGCACUGGAUGGAUCAGCUGACACCACCCAGAGUGGUAAUCUGGCUCAACCAGUUCUGCCAUCCCUCCCAAGAACAGAAAACAGCAAAAAACAAACAAACAAACAAACAAACAAAAAAAACUCACUUCGACUCCCACUGCCCCCCAUGAUUCCAUCUCCAACCUGACCAAUCAGCACUCCCCACUUCCCAAGCCCCUACCUGCCAAAUUAUCUUUAAAAACACUUAUCAUCAAAUGGCUCAGGGAGAAUGAUUUGAGUAAUAAUAAAACUCUGGUCUCCCGCACAGCUGGCUCUUCCUGAUUUACUCUUUCUCCAUUGCAAUUCCCCUGUCUUGAUAAAUCGGCUCUGUCUAGGCUGCGGGCAAGGUGAACCCAUUGG
rnacentral:lncRNA from 1 species